AUGAAGGAGAGGAAAUGGCCUGGGAACCCCAAGUGCUCUUUUUGCAAUAACCUGGAAUCCUCUCAACACUUGUUUUACACCUGUCCUAUGAGUAGAGUUGUUUGGCAAUGUGUUGGGAUGGUACUGUGUACUGAUAUGUGCCCGAGCAGUUACUGGCAAUAUUUUCCCUAGUGUCAGGCGUUUCUCCCUCCUGGAGGGGGAUAUUAUACUGUAGGCCUCGCUGUCGCUUGCUGGGCCAUCUAUCUAGCUCGGAACCGAGCUACUUUUGAAAAGAAAUAGAUCAAAACACCCUUUGAAAUUGUUUUCUCCAUGUGUUCCUUUUUGUUGUACUAGGCAGGUCUGCAACAGGGAGAAGGAGUCAAGGAGCUGCGCAACGGUGCGGAAAUGACCAGGUCAAGCACGAUGCAUUUGAUGAAGAUGUGCGAUGCUGCGAGGAGGCCAAUAGAAGGGGAAUGA
rnacentral:rRNA from 1 species